rnacentral:sRNA from 1 species
GCUGGGUGUGGGGCGCAUACCUAUAAUCCCAGCAGCUCGGGAGGCUGAGGCAGGAGGAUCUCCAAGGUGCCAAGCAACUCAGUGAGACCCUGUCUCUA